rnacentral:rRNA from 1 species
UGCGCAGGCGGGCUUGUAAGUCAGUGGUGAAAUACUGCCGCUUAACGGUAGAACUGCCAUUGAUACUGCAAGUCUUGAAUAUGGUUGAGGUAGGCGGAAUGUGUUGUGUAUCGGUGAAAUGCAUAGAUAUGACACAGAACGCCGAUUGCGAAGGCAGCUUACUAAGCCAUUAUUGACGCUGAGGCACGAAAGCGUGGGGAGCGAACAGGAUUAGAUACCCUGGUAGUCC